UACGUAGGGCGCAAGCGUUGUCCGGAAUUAUUGGGCGCAAAGAGCUCGUAGGCGGUGUGUCGCGUCGGCCGUGAAAACCUGCAGCUUAACUGUGGGCUUGCGGUCGAUACGGGCAUCACUGGAGUUCGGCAGGGGAGACUGGAAUUCCUGGUGUAGCGGUGAAAUGCGCAGAUAUCAGGAGGAACACCGGUGGCGAAGGCAGCUCGCUGGGACGUUACUGACGCUGAGACGCGAAAGCGUGGGGAGCAAACAGG
rnacentral:rRNA from 1 species